UGGGGAAUCUUGCGCAAUGGGCGAAAGCAUGAUGGAGUGACGCCGCGUGGGGGAUGAAGGUCUUCGGAUUGUAAACUCCUGUCAAGUGGGAGUAAAGCUGUGCGUUAACUGCGUCACAGUCUGCGAGUAUGACUAGAGGAAGAGACGGCUAACUCUGUGCCAGCAGCCGCGGUAAUACAGAGGUCGCAAGCGUCGGUCGGAAUCACUGGGCGUAGAGGGUGCGUAGGCGGCCAGGAAAGGCAGAUGUGA
rnacentral:rRNA from 1 species